rnacentral:rRNA from 1 species
UGCCGAAGCAACCAGCCCUGAAAAUGGAUGGCGCUAUAGCGUCUUGCCUAUACAUAACCGCUAGAACAGAGCUGGCUUCUUUAAUUACAGGGCCCUUAAGUUCUAGUGAGUAGGAGGGUGUAGUGGUAAGCGCAGAAGGGUCUGAGCGUAAGCUUGCCUGGAGCUGCCACUGGCACAGAUCUUGGUGGUAGUAGCAAAUACUCGAGUGAGACUCUCGAGGACUGACGUGGAGAAGGGUUUCAUGUGAACAGCAAUUGCACAUGGGUGAGUCGAUCCUAAGCCAUAUGCGAAAGCAGAUUGAUACACAAUGGCCAAAAUGAAACAAAAAAUGGUGGUGCAUGGUACCAAAUAUAUAUAUAUAUAAUCUUUUAGAGAAAAAAUUCUAUUAAGAUAAUAAAAAGAACCUUGGUGCAGUUCUUGGUACAAAGUGGUGCAAAAAAACUCACACACAAGUUGGUGGUUAUAGUACCCAAUAUAUAUAAUGUUUUAAAAAGAUAAAACAAAAGUGGUGCAAAUUUUGGUACAAAAAGUCUAAGGACAAAAUAAAAAAAAGUGGCCAGUACAAUUCAGGCGAAAGGGAAUCCGGUACUCAUUCCGGAACCUGGACAUGGGGAGUUGUGAUGUUUCUUCAUCACUCAGCCGUAAGGCAAAUACUAACUUGGAGAUAUUCGACCAGGGGGCCAGGAAGAGUUUUCUUUUCUAAUUAAGUGUCUGAGGGCCUUGAGAACCGUGUCAUACGGAGAGAGGGUCUUGGAUGCGAAGAGCGCCGCGGUUCUUGCGGCGUCUGCGCUACUGCUGGUUUGAAACUUAAAAAUCCAAGGGGAGAAAUGCUAACCUUCAUGCAAA